CGAGGUGCUUGAUUUGUCUUCUGGAGAUCUGCACAGAGGAGGAAUAAAACCCAUCACCUUUGUUCGUCAAGUCCUUGCUGCCUGCUUUUAUCCAGCCCUUUUGGAGGAUGACAGUCUGCCAUUAGAUGUUAAACAGAGGGCCGAAAGUCUCCUUAGAGAAUGCGAUGGUGGAAGCGUAGGCUCAUAUACAGAUUCAAGUGGAAUCACCAAAAUUAAACACUGCGUGUCUCAGUUUAUUACCAGGAGAGAUGGAGGAGUUCCUUCCUCACCUGACAACAUCUUC